rnacentral:rRNA from 1 species
UACAGAGGGGGCAAGCGUUGUUCGGAAUUACUGGGCGUAAAGGGCGCGUAGGCGGCCUGCUAAGUCGAACGUGAAAUCCCCGGGCUCAACCCGGGAACUGCGUCCGAUACUGGCAGGCUUGAAUCCGGGAGAGGGAUGUGGAAUUCCAGGUGUAGCGGUGAAAUGCGUAGAUAUCUGGAGGAACACCGGGUGGCGAAGGCGGCAUCCUGGACCGGUAUUGACGCUGAUGCGCGAAAGCCAGGGGAGCAAACGGGG